GAUGAACGCUGGCGGCGUGCCUAAUACACGCAAGUCGAGCGAACAGACGAGGAGCUUGCUCCUCUGACGUUAGCGGCGGACGGGUGAGUAACACGUGGAUAACCUACCUAUAAGACUGGGAUAACUUCGGGAAACCGGAGCUAAUACCGGAUAACAUGUUGAACCGCAUGGUUCAACAGUGAAAGACGGUUUUGCUGUCACUUAUAGAUGGAUCCGCGCCGCAUUAGCUAGUUGGUAAGGUAACGGCUUACCAAGGCAACGAUGCGUAGCCGACCUGAGAGGGUGAUCGGCCACACUGGAACUGAGACACGGUCCAGACUCCUACGGGAGGCAGCAGUAGGGAAUCUUCCGCAAUGGGCGAAAGCCUGACGGAGCAACGCCGCGUGAGUGAAGAAGGUCUUCGGAUCGUAAAACUCUGUUAUUAGGGAAGAACAAAUGUGUAAGUAACUAUGCACGUCUUGACGGUACCUAAUCAGAAAGCCACGGCUAACUACGUG
rnacentral:rRNA from 1 species